AGAUUAAACAAAGUGGUUUUUGAGGAAUAGUAAUUGGUUGGCAGAACACAGGAUUGAAUAGAAUAAGGAAGAUAUUAAAAGAUUAAGAGACUGUUUAGAAGGCCCCAACUACAGAAGAUAAGAGGGCAUAGGAAAAGUUUUUCCUCUCUACAAGCCAAAAGUCGCAAGGCUAAUAUUUACUCCCCUGAUUCUCUCCUCCAGAGCCCACACCCUUCAUCACUACUGAUAAAGGUUCAAAUAUGUUUUUCAAAUCUGGCAUUCAUGGUUGCUACUGCACUGGAAUAAUGGUAACAACAGGCUGAUGAGAAUCUUAAGUGGCACUUACUCAGUGGAGUAAUUGGAAGCGGCAAUGGUUAUACAAAUGAAUGCCCCUCAGAGGGAAGAAGGAGAGAUUUGCCUUGAAACUGCGGCUGUAAAAAGUUAGUGCUGGUAAGUGAAGAAACAGAAACUAAGUGAUAGAGAAUGGGAACUAAGGUAGAAAUAACUAACAAAGAUCACUGUGCAGAACCGUAGUGGUGUUCAGAGUAGAUGCGCAAGUCCAUAUGCAUGUAGCAAAUACAAGUCUCAACCCACAA
rnacentral:lncRNA from 1 species